AGUUUAAUAGUUUAAAGAAAAACAUUGAUUUUGUAAAUCAAAAAUAGAAAAAAACCCUUUAAAUUA
rnacentral:tRNA from 1 species